UACGAAGGGGGCUAGCGUUGCUCGGAAUCACUGGGCGUAAAGGGUGCGUAGGCGGGUUUUUAAGUCAGGGGUGAAAUCCUGGAGCUCAACUCCAGAACUGCCUUUGAUACUGAAGAUCUUGAGUCCGGGAGAGGUGAGUGGAACUGCGAGUGUAGAGGUGAAAUUCGUAGAUAUUCGCAAGAACACCAGUGGCGAAGGCGGCUCACUGGCCCGGUAUUGACGCUGAAGAGCGAAAGCGUGGGGAGCAAACAGG
rnacentral:rRNA from 1 species